GUCCACGCCCUAAACUAUGUCAACUAGCUGUUGGGCUCAUAUAAGGGCUUAGUGGCGCAGCUAACGCGAUAAGUUGACCGCCUGGGGAGUACGGUCGCAAGAUUAAAACUCAAAGGAAUUGACGGGGGCCCGCACAAGCGGUGGAGCAUGUGGUUUAAUUCGAUGCAACGCGAAGAACCUUACCUACCCUUGACAUCCUCGGAACUUGUCAGAGAUGACUUGGUGCCUUCGGGAACCGAGAGACAGGUGCUGCAUGGCUGUCGU
rnacentral:rRNA from 1 species